rnacentral:rRNA from 1 species
UACGGAAGGGGGCUAGCGUUGCUCGGAAUGACUGGGCGUAAAGGGCGCGUAGGCGGUUCAUACAGUCAGAUGUGAAAUUCCCGGGCUUAACCUGGGGGCUGCAUUUGAUACGUGUGGGCUUGAGUGAGGAAGAGGGUUGUGGAAUUCCCAGUGUAGAGGUGAAAUUCGUAGAUAUUGGGAAGAACACCGGUGGCGAAGGCGGCAACCUGGUCCUUACUGACGCUGA